rnacentral:lncRNA from 12 species
GGUCAGAGCUCGUCGUGCUCCUCGUGCCCGGCCGGCGGCUCCCUGCAGGCCGCAGGUGUCUCCAGCUCCAGCAGGUACUCGCAGCGACUCGGCUCCGUCGCCGCCGUCAGCGCCGUGUCCGGGCCGCACCUGAGCCGCACCUGGGCAGGGACAGGGACACCUGAGUGCACCUGGGCACACCUGGGCACACCUGGGCACACCUGAGACACACCUGAGUACACCUGAACAGCUCAGACACACCUGAGAUACACCUGAGACACACCUGAGACACACCUGGGCACACCAGAGACACACCUAAGCGCACCUGGGCACACCUGAGCCCACCUGGGCACACCUGAGACACACCUGAGCGCACCUGGGAUACACCUGAGUGCACCUGGGCACACCUGAGACAGCUCAGACACACCUGAGACACACCUAAGUACACCUGGGCAGGGACAGGGACACCUGAGCACACCUGGGCACUCCUGAGAUACACCUGAGUGCACCUGGGCAGGGACAGGGACACCUGAGCACACCUGGGCACUCCUGAGAUACACCUGAGUGCACCUGGGCAGGGACAGGGACACCUGAGCACACCUGGGCACUCCUGAGAUACACCUGAGUGCACCUGGGCAGGGACAGGGACACCUGAGCACACCUGGGCACUCCUGAGAUACACCUGAGUGCACCUGGGCAGGGACAGGGACACCUGAGCACACCUGGGCACUCCUGAGAUACACCUGAGUGCACCUGGGAUACACCUGGGGGGUUAUGGGGGGCUCUGGGGACAGGAGCUCAGGUGACACAGGUGACAUUGGUGACAGGUGUCACCGCGGUCGCCCGGUUGGGUCACACACAGGUGACAUUAAUGACACACAGGUGCCACACACAGGUGACACAGGUGACACAGGUAUCACACAAGUGUCACACACCUGUCCCAGGUGUGCCACUCACCGUGGUGGCGCGGUUGGGUCACACACGGGUGUCACCCACACCUGUCCCAGGUGUCUCACAGGUAUCACAGGUGUCACACACACCUGUCCCAGGUGUCACACAGGUAUCAGGUGUCUCACACCCGUCGCACACACCUGUCCCUGUCCCACACCUGUCCAGGUGUGUCACUCACCGUGGUGGUCC